UUACCGGCUUAACAUGAUAGAGAUUUCUUCGGACAUAGGUGCUGCAUGGCUGUCGUCAGCUCGUGUUGUGAAAUGUUGGGUUAAGUCCCGCAACGAGCGCAACCCGCCUUAGUGCCAUCAUAUGGGACUCUGGGGGACUGCCGGUGUUAACCGGAGGAAGGCGGGGAUGACGUCAAGUCCUCAUGGCCCUUACGCCGGGCUACACACGUACUACAAUGGGAAACAAGGGGCACCGUGAGGGGAGCAAUCCCAAAAACGUCCCAGUCCGGAUUGGAGUCUGCAACUCGACUCCAUGAAGUUGGAAUCGCUAGUAAUCGCAAUCAGCACGUGCGGUGAAUACGUUCCCGGGCCUUGUACACACCGCCCGUCACACCACGAAAGUGGUUCACCGAA
rnacentral:rRNA from 1 species